GUCAAGUUGUUAAGUAUAUUUGCAAUAUUUUGCUAAAGUAAAAUCAACGAAGUGACUUUUUUACUUUAUUAAAUAUUACACAGUAAAACACGGUGUGAAUGUGUCUUAACUCAUUUUGCAGUUUGAUUAAGAAAACGAAGUUAACAAUUACUAACAUUUAAUUGAUGAAGAAUCGCAUUAUUUCUCGGAAGUGCUAAUCGUUUUUUACACUAUUUCUAACUCGAAGGUUAAAGUUUUUGUAGUAUAUAUGGUAUGUAUGAUAUAGACUAAUCUCAGCUUUCAAUGGAGAUCACCACAGUGAAAAUGAAAAAUUUGCAGCCGUACCAGAUUUGGAACUCGUUUAUUAUAUUUUUUGAGUAGUAUAAACCAUAUUUUGAAUCAUUCCAAAACAAUGUUACACAUGACAGUUGAUUACUAUUGAUGAUAUCGAGUCCACCUUUCAACAUUAACUUGCAGAAGUCAUAUAUAUUUCAAUUGGUUUUCUCUCCGUUGAAGUUGA